rnacentral:lncRNA from 1 species
AAAAAUACAAACACACACAUUCACAUUUCACUAUUUUUGUUUCUUUUCUUUUCUUUUUCUUUUGUUUUACAAAUACAAAUACAAAUACAAAUACAAAUACAAAAUCAAAAUCAAAAUCAAAACAAAUAAAUAAAACUUACAUUGAUUAAUUUAAAAAAUUACACAAUAGUCCCUAAAACUCCAAAAAUUGCAGGGAAGCCCAUCUGCACCCCGGAACAGUGAUGGGAACAGUGGCGGCGCGUCUUCCCACGCGCCACCGUCAAUGGCGGCGCGUGGGGUCACGCGCCGCCCAGAAAACUGAAAAAAACAGAGGGGGUCGAUCACGUCUUCCUCUCUUCUUCCCACGCCGACGGUCGGUCACCUGCAAAGACCCAAAGAUACACACAAGGCAGUUGAUUUUAAGUUUUUUAUUUCAUUUUUAGAUCUGUUUUUUUUCUUGCAGAUCUGUCCUCUUCUUUCGCCGGCUGCGGUGGCCACUGCGGGGCUGUUCUGGAGGAAUCUCCGGUGUCGAUGGCGAGGAAGAGAUCGGGGGAGGUAGGGAGGCGGCUGAUCUAUCGGUGCUGCUUCGCCGUUGCUGGUGACCGUCUGCUAAGGGAGAAGAAGACGUUGUUGAUGGCGCUGCUGUUCGGGCGCCGCUGGGAGAGGAAAUCGAAGGGAGGAGCAGCGACUUGUGUUGAUGGAGACGAACUGCCGCUGAGAGGGAAGAGCUGGAAACGGUGGAGGAGAAAUGGAGAGUUGCGGUGGCUUGGGGGGGGGUGAAGAAGAUGGUGGAACCGGCUGUGUUUGGGUCCGGUGAGGGAGAAGAAAACGAAAUCCAAGGGAAGGUUUCGGAGAAAGAAAAGCUGGAAAAAUGGGGAGCCAAAUCUUGGCCGGCGGCUGGAGAAAUCAAAACCAGCGGGGGGAGGGGGAAGGCAGCUGUUUGGAUCAAAAAAAUGGGAGAGGGCAGCUGUGGCUCUGUGGAGAAAAAAAAAAAAAUUAAUGUGGGGGCGUCGGCCGUCUUGCUUCAGGAGAAGAAAAAUUGGGGAGAAAAAAUUCAAAAACCAAAACGGGGGAGGGGGGUUUGUCUGUGAGAAAAAGAGAAAAAUGGCUUUAGUUUCAAAGGGAGAGCCCCCCAAGAGAGAUGCUGU